rnacentral:rRNA from 1 species
UACGAAGGGGGCUAGCGUUGCUCGGAAUUACUGGGCGUAAAGGGCGCGUAGGCGGACCGUUAAGUUGGGGGUGAAAGCCCGGGGCUCAACCUCGGAAUUGCCUUCAAUACUGGCUGUCUUGAGUGUGAGAGAGGUGUGUGGAACUCCGAGUGUAGAGGUGAAAUUCGUAGAUAUUCGGAAGAACACCAGUGGCGAAGGCGACACACUGGCUCACUACUGACGCUGAGGCGCGAAAGCGUGGGGAGCAAACAGG